rnacentral:rRNA from 1 species
UACAGAGGUCUCAAGCGUUGUUCGGAUUCAUUGGGCGUAAAGGGUGCGUAGGCGGCGCGGUAAGUCGGGUGUGAAAUCUUGGAGCUUAACUCCGAAACUGCAUUCGAUACUGCCGUGCUUGAGGACUGGAGAGGAGACUGGAAUUUACGGUGUAGCGGUGAAAUGCGUAGAUAUCGUAAGGAAGACCAGUGGCGAAGGCGGGUCUCGUGG